AUGAAUAGUGCAGGAGCUAGCAAAGCUGUCACUCGCCGUAUGGAACACCAACGUGGGAAGGUGGAAGCACAAAUAGAAGCUGCUCUUUCUUCCUCGCCCACGACGGAUCAAGCGUCUCGGUCAUUGGCUUGGCAGCGAUGCAACACAUCGUCUCACCAGCACAACUUCUCCCCAUCGGCACAGGUUCGGCGACGCCCCCCUUUCCAUGUCGGUAUUACAUCGGUCUCUGGUGCAGCGGUGCGCGUUCUGGUUCUUUUUUUCCGCUUGCAAAAAAUAAGCUUUCUAAGCACAAGACUCUUUAGCUUACUGAAAACUGUCUUACCCACAAAACUUCUUGCAGAUAUCUAA
rnacentral:rRNA from 1 species